rnacentral:sRNA from 1 species
AAUUCAAUGCUACUGUACUUUUUUUAUAGUCUUCUGUAGUGUCUCUAGAUAGAUUGAUAUUAUUAAUGGUGUUACUCUAAUCAAAUAUGAAUAUUUCUUAGCUAUAAAUCUCAGUUCCAGUUUGUGUCUGUUCUAGUUUCUUUAUGUUUUCAUGAGGUGAGAAGUCUCAAACAGAGGACACACAUUUUAAUAGUGAUGUUAAUAGGUAAAAAAGUUGACAAUACUAGAUCUAUAUAGUGUUAAAAUUAGUUGUUUUAGUAAAUCUUUAUCGUCCAUUUAUAGCAAACACACCGAAUGACAGGAAUUCUAAAAAAAUUUUAAAGUCCUUUACUUGUGUAUUAUAUAAGAUAAGAGAGAGAGAGAGAGAGAGAUGUGCAGAAAAAAUAAACUACAUCGAAAUACUCGUAUUUGGUCAUGCGUUCUUGGCUUAACAACACCUAAUUCUACUUAUAUAACCCAUCCAGUACACUGGUCCACUUUGGAUUCUAUGUGUGCUCGCUGCUUAUAUAGGCCAAUGGAUCUUAAAAGGUGUUGUUUGACGCUAAAGCUUCGGUAAACUUAAGAAGAAAAAAGAAUUAGCUGGCUUAGAUCACUUAGUGAUAAUGAUAGUAAAACUAGGAUAAUCAAAUAAGUAAACAAGGUUUAACAAUCUAACCCCAGGAUCGUGCUUACAACGAGACCAAGAAGUUAAUAACACAGAACCCUCGAUGAGAAACUGCCAGCAUAAUAGCAUGUACAAAGCACUGUUAACUAAGUAAAUUCUACAAAUGGAAUAAAGAGUUCAGUGUUGAAACUGUCAGAGGUCUUUGCUAGACUAAGUAUAAUUGCGGUGGAUGGCCUACUUAACCGAGGCCUGCGUAAAAAAAAAACUACACAGCGGCCUUGACCAAACCCAUUCCUGGAUAUACAAUAACAGAAUUUUAAAGCGUGUUGCACAACUUUGGUAAACAAAUGCCUGGCGAAUGUAUGCACAAGAAAUAUUGUGAAAUUCCGUUUAAAAUCUGAAGAGCGAGGGAGUCAACAUGAGGGGUAGAAAAAAUCCAAAACAAAACGAACAGGCGCCUUCAACUUUACCACCUUGCAAAGUGUGUGGCGAGCAGGGAUCUGGUUUUCAUUAUGGAGUUACCACAUGUGGUGCUUGCAAGGGAUUCUUUAGAAGAAGUCUAGUCCGCACAGAGCCUUACAUCUGCAUUGGUCGGGGCCAUUGCCACAUCGGACCUGAGACAAAAAGAAGAAAAAGUUGUCCGAAAUGUCGCCUGGAGAAGUGUCUAUCUGUAGGCAUGUGUAAAGAAGGUAGGUCCCACAGAUACUGAGAAUAUAAUGGUCCUUUAAGUCACAUAACAAAGUUGAUCAAAGGGCAUUAACAACAUUCACAGUGAAGACCUGAUGAGUGGUAAAUAUUUCCGAUUCCUUCAGAUUUAGUGACUGACUUAAUAGAUUAUGCAAUUCUGAUCAGCAAAUAAGAUAAGAUAAUUUUAUUGUUGAAACAAAUGGAAAUUCAGUUUGACCACUAAUGUCCACCUCAGCAUUACUACUAUAGCAAUAACAAUAUAGAUGCUUAUUUAUACAACAUGCAAAGGUCGCACAUUCACCAACAAUUAUUAAUUAACCAGGCUCUCUUGUACUUCUCGGUGACGACAAAUGACCCUGCAACACCCUGACUAAAAGUGGGAUAAAGGAGUUUUUAAAUAUCUCUUUUAUAGACUUAAGGGAGAAGAGUAGACUCCCUCGUCCUGAUCUAACCGUGGUUUUAUGUGUGCAAAUUGUCUUUCAUAUGUUUUACUUUAAGU